ensembl:lncRNA
GCAGAGUAUAAAGAGAAAUAAAAGAAGGCAAGGACUUGAAACUCUUCAUAGAAGAACAGCCUAUCUUAACAACAUGGUUUACUAUGAGUUUUAACGCUGAGAAAAGAAUCAGAUCAUCCAUGUGUGGACAGUGAUUCUAUGAAGAACCAUUUUAGCUGUGCAUCCCAAUAGGUGGUAAAUGAAAAGAAUUUUCGACAGGAGCUACAUUAAAUGGAGUAUUUCUCUUUCCAGUGGAAACCACAAAUCACAACUUUAUAAAACUAAACUUCUAUGUAGACUUGCAGGGACUAUGGAAAUAAUUGGUAAGCUUUCCAUCAAUAGAGAUAAUCCAUCAUGAUUUUCUCCUCCUUCCCCAGACAGGUAUUAACCCUUUAAUUGCUCUGUUCUCAGUAGAGGCUUGGUCUUUUCUGAUUGAUACUUAUUCCCGCAGGAAAAGUGUGAAAUUUUGUAAUUUUUGUACCCUG